GAAAGCACAGAUUUGUGGAAGCUGCAUGAUUUGUAUAACACUGAGAAAGAAGUACUAGAUGAAAUUUGUCUUGUUCCAGAAGGAAUGGAUUCAGCUUUAUGUGUCAAACGGCAACAAUUUUCCAUGCAUUGUGAUGCAUUGGAAGAAGACAUCAAGCUGCUCUCAGAACCCUUUAAAGUAUUUGAUUUUGACUUCUGGAGAAGGCCGGAUAGUCAUCGUGUAACAAAGCUGAGUGUACAAGCUACUGAUACUGGCGCUGUUCAUGCUGUAAUCUCAUGGUGGUUGCUCCAGCUUGAUGAGAAAGGCACUAUCUUCUACUCCACUGCACCCA
rnacentral:misc_RNA from 1 species